AUUCCAGCUCCAAUAGCGUAUAUUUAAGUUGUUGCGGUUAAAAAGCUCGUAGUUGGAUUUCGGGCGUGGAGGUUCGGUCCGCCGUUUCGGUGUGCACUGUCUUUCUGCGUCUUUCUGUCGGGGACGCGCUUCUGGCCUUAAUUGGCUGGGACGUGGAUUCGACGAGGUUACUUUGAAAAAAUUAGAGUGUUCAAAGCAAGCUAAAGCUCUGAAUACAUUAGCAUGGAAUAACGCGAGAGGACUCGGUCCUUAUUUUGUUGGUCUUCAAGGAUGGAGUAAUGAUUAAGAGGGACAGUUGGGGGCAUUCGUAUUUCAUUGCUAGAGGUGAAAUUCUUGGAUUUAUGAAAGACGAACUUCUGCGAAAGCAUCUGCCAAGGAUGUUUUCAUCA
rnacentral:rRNA from 1 species